rnacentral:sRNA from 1 species
GGGCUUGUACUGGUUUCGACGGGGGUUCAGAAGUUUGGGAAGCCAUCCGCAGACCGUGGCUGCGUCAUCAAAACGGAAACCUAAAUAUAAACGCAGACGAACAGUUAGCGUACGCUGCUUAAUUGCAGCUGUCGGACUCAGACCGCUCACAGCCUGAGACCCCGGCAUCGAGAAUGUGAGGAACUUCGUCUCCUAAGCUUUGCGGAGAUGGAAGAACUGAUGAAGCUACCGGACAUGUAAGCCUGUCACCGGGCGUAUGUGCGAGGGAAUGAAAAAACAGUGACUGUGAUGGGAGAAACCUGAAUGGAAGGGCUUUCGGACAGGGGUUCGAUUCCCCUCAGGUCCAUC